AAAAUAGUUGCUGGUCUCCUGCAUUACACAACAAUUAUCCUAACAUGCUGCAAUUGUGAAACCGUCUUGUUACAAUGAGUAAAGACAGACUCACGAGUUUUUCCCUUUGAAAAACUGGUCACACAAGGUGCAACUCAAGAUACUUUAAGGAAAUAUCUGAGUGAUUAGCAAAAUAAACUACAAAGUGUCUUAACGUUCAGAAAUUACAUUUAUUAUUUAAAGGUGAUUUUAAUUUAGCAAAAUGCGGUUUUUUGGACAAACCUCAUCUCCCACAUGCAUACAUGUAUUUGCUCUAUUUAAGGCAAAUUACUAUUGUAAGCAAUGCAUUGUGCUUUGCAUGUUCUGCAGAAGCACAGAAAAGAACAACACUUUUCUUGUACUGUUCAUCUUUUCAAAAACUUGGAACCAAAUCAAUUACCAUUAUUAGCUAUGAUCUCUAUUGCUGAAGAGUCAUACUCGGCUUGCACUAGUUUUAUUUUAUCUAACUUUCUCAGAUAAAACGGCAAAUUCUUAUAGUCAGCGUUUAUGUGCAAGCAGAUAAUCUAUGCCAUAUAAAAUGCAAUGUGUAAAUUUAUCUUUUGUAUUUUCGUGUAUUAAGUGGCAUCGUGUAUUAAGACAAGUGUCAACAACAACAAAUAUCAAGUCUGAUUGUCUGAGUGUUUUGUGUUAUUUUAUUAUGAACGUCUCUGUAAUUGUUUACGAAACGCAUGCCACUAUAAUAAAUCAUUUACCCACC
rnacentral:sRNA from 1 species